CCUACGGGGGGCAGCAGUGGGGGAUAUUGCACAAUGGGGGAAACCCUGAUGCAGCGACGCCGCGUGAGUGAAGAAGUAUUUCGGUACGUAAAGCUCUAUCAGCAGGGAAGAAUAAUGACGGUACCUGACUAAGAAGCCCCGGCUAACUACGUGCCAGCAGCCGCGGUAAUACGUAGGGGGCAAGCGUUAUCCGGAUUUACUGGGUGUAAAGGGAGCGUAGACGGCAGCGCAAGUCUGGAGUGAAAUGCCGGGGCCCAACCCCGGAACUGCUCUGGAAACUGUGAGGCUGGAGUGCAGAGGAGGAA
rnacentral:rRNA from 1 species